rnacentral:rRNA from 1 species
GGUUCGAAUCUAAGAGAAAUUCUAGAUAAUAUUUCCUAGCCUAAAAUUUUCUUGUCUUCCCCGAAUGCUAAGGAGAAGAAGAGGAUUGGGUCAAAAGGAAAAGCUAUUUUGGAGUUUUAUCAACAAUUUGCUUGUGUAGGUGGGGACCUGGUAUUUUCGGAGUCCUUACGCGAGGAAUUAAAGAAAUUUUUUCAACAAAAAUGUGAAUUAGGAAGGAUUGGUCGACGAGAUAUGAAUCGGAGACUUAAUCUUGAUAUACCUCAGAACAAUACAUUCUUGUUACCACGAGAUGUAUUGGCCGCUACGAAUCAUUUGAUUGGAAUGAAAUUUGGAACGGGUAUACUUGAGGAUGACGAUAUGAAUCACUUGAAAAAUAAACAUAUUCGGGUGCGGAUCUGUUACAAGAUCAAUUCGGAUUGGCUCUUGGUCGCUUACAACAUGCAGUUCAGAAAACUAUUCAUAGAGUAUUCAUACGUCAGUCGAAACCGACUCCCCAAACUUUGGUAA